rfam:Schistosoma haematobium scaffold40_27, whole genome shotgun sequence.
AUCCAAUUGAGGAAUCCUAAAUAGAACGAAACGCGCUUCCUGUAU